AUGGGGUGGACCGACGGCGGCGCCGACAGGAGGAGAAGAGCUUUUAUUCAUGAUUGGAAUCUCACACUUGGGCGGCCGCUCCAUCUCCCGCCCUGCGGUCGCCGCCGCAAGAUCUUGGACGGGCCCCAAGAUCUUCAACGGCGCAGCCGGCCCGCGCCGCCCGGUGGCCCUCUAUCUCCGUCGCAGAAUCUUCUGACGGCGCCCGACAUCGGUUCCUCCGCGCGUCGUGAUCCCUCACAUAGGUACGUUGCCUCCGGUUCUCCCCAAACACCACAGCUGGCGCACAUGGAUGCUGGCUGUGCACGCAAUACCAAUUCAAAAACAGCUGCUGGGUUUUCUGUGCGUGUGGAUGCUGAAUUAGUAGAUAUCGGCAUGGCUGGUGAAGGCAUCUUGAUAGAUGAAUUUAUGGAGUACGGCUCGAUGGUCAGGCAGACAUUUAAAAGUGAGAACGAAGCAUACAAGUUCUACUUAGCGUAUGCGAAGAGCAAAGGGUUUGGUGUUAGAAAGGGCGAUCUGAAAUAUAAGGGAAACAAGGAAAAUGCAUACCGGAGGACGUUUGUGUGCUGCAAACAAGGAUAUCGUGACGUAAAGCACUUUGAUGAAACCGACAAGAAAAGGACGCCAAGGGCACUCUCUCGCCAUCCAUUCAUAAAUCCUGAGUUGUCACCUUUCCUAUGGUCUCAUCGUGGCCUGAACGACCCACAGAAAGCGGAUGUCAUUGAGUACUCGGUUGGUGGACUUCGCACACAUCAUAUAAUGGAUGUGAUGGAGAAGCAGGCUGGUGGUUUCGGCAAGGCUGGAUUUAUAUCUCGCGAUCUAUAUAAUCAUGUCGCAUUGGAGAAGAAGAAAAAGAUAGAAGUAAGGAAGAUGGAAAGCGAGGAUUUUCCAUGUGCUCAUAUAUUUUGCGUUCUGAAGUACAAUGGGAUAUGCACCAUCCCCGCAUGUUGUGUGAAGGCUAGAUGGACAAUGCAAGCCAAGCCUGCUUUCGGUUCUGUGAGGAGUGCCAAUACACAUGUGAUGGAGUACCUGAGGAGCAUAUUCGACGAGGGCAACAGAAAUGAUGUGAAUACUGGCACAUCAUCAUUUGUUCCUAUGCCGGCGUAUUUUUCUAGGGCGCGGCAAUGGUUUACAGAUCAAGUUCAAGACCCUAAACCAAUAAUAAAUCCCAAAGGCAGACCAGCCAAAGAAUCGAAUAAGAGGUUGAAGCCAUUCCUGGAGAAUUUGAAAGCAAAAAAGAAAACAUUGAAGAAAGCUUCAGCAAAGGUGACUGAAGUUAUUAUGAUGACUCGGGGGAGAAAGAGAAAAGAGAACAAUGACGAAGUGUGUGCUAAGAACAAAAGACCUUUCAAGAAAACGGCUGGAAAGUCUAAGUAG
rnacentral:rRNA from 1 species